UAAAGCCUAAACAAGAUAGACAUAUUCAGGGCCUUUUGGGGAAAAAACAUCGCUUCAAUAUAUGAACUGGGUAAACUUGCCAAACCAUUUUCAACAUCACAGAGUGCACUUCAAUGGUAAUGAGUUGUUCACAACUACAGAGACAUCGUACCGGAUUAUUGGCAGCUACUCCACCAUCAAUAAGAUUGAAUUCCUUGAUGUUUCCAUGACAAUCUUCAGUCCUGAAGAAGUGCGCAGGCAGUUCAGGAUGCUGUCCGAUUGCUGCUCACAGAUUAUUCAACAGCAUUAUCUCCCAAGAUAAGAAAGGAAGCUGCAUUUGGUCAAUGAUAAGACAAAGAGGUAAAGUCAGAACUGUACAAAACCCUGUUGACUCAGCAAAUGAAAGGAAUUGUCCAAUACAUCAUCUAUGCGACCAUGCCCUGCAGGAUAGACAAAGCAGCGAGCCGGGGAUUGGAACUCCAUAAUCAAUAUGGUUACGGCCUCCCUGAAAAACAUUAUCCAAGAGGUACGAGCACGGAAAGUACUUCAAAGUGGCUCACAACUAUGUUCUGUAUAUUUGCUGGUUCAUCACAGCUGUCAAAUAGCUUAAGUAAUUAGGUUGUUUCUGGGAUCACCUUGUAUUGUAUGUUGAUCAUUCUCUCACCUGUACGUAAUCAUUCUCACAUAUGCGUGACGUAUUACAUCAGCUAACAAGUCAUGCAACAAGAUGGAAAGGAAUAUUCUUACUAGUGCUUAAUAUUUUGUGAAGUCAUGCCAGAAAAAGAAACACAAAAGAUGUUUUGCUGUAUAUCCAAUUGGAGACUUCUAGC